AUUAUUUCUUUCAUUAUUUGCUAAAUAUUGCUUCAUGUAACCGUUACAUCGUCGAAUUUCGGUCCAUUACAUUCGAUUCUUUACACCCUUCGAAUUUGGGUCACACUGGGAUAUUGCAUACAUGCAUCUAGUCCAAAUUUUUGACGCUCUUAAAUAUUAAGCUACUUUUUAUAUGGGUAAAGUAUCUCGCGCGUCUUAUAAAUAAGACUAACAUGCAUCAUGCAGAGAUCUCCCUCUGGUUUAGUUCAAACCUGUAUAUUUUAGUUUGAUUGCAUAGGACUUAUUUGAAAAAGCUGUAAAUUUUGUUUCCGGUGCCUAGAACCAGUACUUAGUGUCUAUAGGGAAGAUCUAAAGAACGCUUUCACAGUGGGGAUCGAACCCGUGACCUCCUGGUUGCUAGGCGGACACCAUAUCCUUUACGCCACAGCUACCUCAGGGUUUGGGGUAACGACACCAAACGCAAAGCCUAUCCCAAGGCAAUGCCCCAUUUGCGUGGUAAAAGGCAACACGACUGUGUACCUCCGGGUAACAGACCACGUUCGCUGGGUGCAAGCGCUGACGGCAGACCCCAUGAAGCCGUUGAUGUCAGAGGCACGUGCUAAGACCGGUCGGAAAGUGAAGAAGACAAAGCCGAGGAAUUACUACUCUUGCUGGCUGUGCGACCGGUCGGUGAUUGACCGGCUGCGUCAUCUAGAACAGGAGCACAAAAUGGAGGCUGGGACAUUCAAUUUUGUUUACACAAGAGGGCCGUUUCCGGAAAGACGCGAAAACUUCAGGAAAGGUGACCAGCAGACUCGCCACUCAUGAUGACUCGGCAUAGGAGGAUGAGAAGGUGGAGGAUGAGGAGGAGGAGGAAGAGGACUUUUCAUUCCUAAUGCCGAAAUACUGCCUGAGCCUGGAACCCAAUGCAAGGGUGAUGCAUGGUCGGAGAAGCUGCAAUUUCAAUCGUUGACUCAUAUGUAGACUACAUGUUCCUGCGGAGCAGGCCAGGUGGGUUGGCAAACGAGUCGAAAACACAAGAGGUCAACAUGAAGAUCAACCGGUUCCUGGCCCUGUCUGGCUACUUGGAAGGAGUGGUGUUGAGUGACAUGCUGUUGUGGAUGGGCCAUAUGGAGGUCCACGACAGUUCCUCAACACCACUCACCAGCUGAAGACGGUGCGGAAUGCACUAACGGCAAUCAAGAACUUCCUGAAGUGGUGCGAGGGAAUGGUCUAGCGGACGCCCGCACAUUGAACAAGCGUAAACUUAGGAUUUGAUUUAUGUAAAUUAUUCAUUCUUCUUGGACAUCUACUUAUUAAUGUUUUGGCGUUGGCGUCUUUCUGUCUGUUCUUCCGUCCAUCUUUCCGUCCGUCCAGCACUUUUGUGUCGAGAGCCAUAUCUUGAAAGUGCUUUGGCCGAUUUCAUUGAAACUUGGUAUGAGUAUAUAUAUGGAUAAGAGGACGAUGCACGCCAAAUGGCAUUGUACACAGUCUGUUAAUUACGGGGUUUUGGCCCUUUGUAUCUUGAAAAAAUGCUUUUUUGAGUGUCAAAUAUAACACUUUUGUGUCCAGAAGCAUAUUGGCGGGGGAUAUCAAUUUAACAAAUUUGCUUGUUUAGCUUUUUUUUUUUUUUCGGCCGAUCUCCUUCUCACAGGCUUCCUGACCUCAACCUGCCUGGAUAAGAGCCGUCGCGAGGUUGUUCGGAGGGUAGACGAGAGUGCGGCCAUCCUGACGGACGCAAACCUGGAGCGCCACUUCACUGAGAGUGAGCAUGUAGUGAAAACGAUCAAGGUGAUCCAGGAGCCCCCAGCUGGCACACCUGAAAGAUAUUCGGGGAAUAAUCAUUUAACUGAUAGCGCUCUAUAACGCCUCCUGAACUGGCAAGUGUACCUAGAGAUUGAGCUGGAGACAGUGAAGGUGCUGACCUCUGUGUGGAACACUUAGAAGCUUGCAAGUUUUCAUAUUGAAGGGUAUGGUUCCCAACCGCCCAUCACACACAGAAUGAAGCUUGUCGUCUUCCGCAGUAAAAACUGGGUGCUGGAAGAUGCUUACUGCUAUAUUGACUGCUUCCGAGCGCUUCCUGGACCUAAAAAUUAUCUCCCAGCAGCAACCUCCCCAAGGUGUGACGAGAGUCUUCAAGUGUUCCAGACGGCUGGUGAUGCAUUUCAAGAAAAGCCAUCAGAAUCUUGCAAUGAUCUGUAUACUUAAUAAAUGACAAAACAACAA